AUUGAACGCUGGCGGCAGGCCUAACACAUGUAAGUCGCACGAGUGGCGGACGGGUGAGUAAUGUCUGGGAAACUGCCUGAUGGAGGGGGAUAACUACUGGAAACGGUAGCUAAUACCGCAUACCAUCGGAUGUGCCCAGAUGGGAUUAGCUAGUAGGUGGGGUAAAGGCUCACCUAGGCGACGAUCCCUAGCUGGGCUGAGAGGAUGACCAGCCACACUGGAACUGAGACACGGUCCAGACUCCUACGUGAGGCGGCAGUGGGGAAUAUUGCACAAUGGGCGCAAGACGGAUGAAGCCAUGGCGCGGGUAUGAAGAAGGCCGUCGGGUUGUAAAGUACUUUCAGCGGGGAUGCGUUACCCGCAGAAGAAGCACCGGCUAAAUCCGUGCCAGCAGCCGCGGUGAUUC
rnacentral:rRNA from 1 species